rnacentral:rRNA from 2 species
ACGGAAGGCAGCAGUGGGGAAUAUUGCACAAUGGGCGAAAGCCUGAUGCAGCGACGCCGCGUGAGUGAAGAAGUAUCUCGGUAUGUAAAGCUCUAUCAGCAGGGAAGAAAAUGACGGUACCUGACUAAGAAGCCCCGGCUAACUACGUGCCAGCAGCCGCGGUAAUACGUAGGGGGCAAGCGUUAUCCGGAUUUACUGGGUGUAAAGGGAGCGUAGACGGUUUGGCAAGUCUGAAGUGAAAUGCGGGGGCUCAACUCCUGAACUGCUUUGGAAACUGUCGAACUAGAGUGCAGGAGAGGUAAGUGGAAUUCCUAGUGUAGCGGUGAAAUGCGUAGAUAUUAGGAGGAACACCAGUGGCGAAGGCGGCUUGCUGGACUGUAACUGACGUUGAGGCUCGAAAGCGUGGGGAGCAAACAGGAUUAGAUACCCUGGUA